GUCUUCUUCCACCCACUAGAAUCCGAUGGGUGGGCGGUGAGUCGGGCUUCCAUCACAGACUAGAGCUAGCAAGAUGGAGGAGGAGGAGGAGGAAUGGUAGUACACACCAGCAAUCCCAGCCAGCUCUGAGGGCAAAGGAGCAGGGAAGACAGCGGGAAUGAGACAGACGAUGCUCUUCUGAACCUCCAGUGUGCCCCAGGAUCACUGAGGUCAGCACAGGAUUUGUGGUUGACAUGUAUACAAGGCUCACAGGUAGCAUCUAGGAGGAAGUGGAUACUCUCUUAGGGCAGCUCUGGCCUCUUAAACUCCACAGGAGCAGGUCCUGAGCUGCUGGAGGAUGAUUUGCUGGCUCAUUUAGCAGCUGCAUGUGCAGAAGCCUAGACAGAGGAUGAGGUGACCCUAGAGGGCAGCUUCCUCCUAAGUCUGGGCUCGUGAGAGGCCAGGAGGCCAGGGUUAGAGGCCAGCUUGCGCGUGUGGUUUGAGGCAACCUUGCUUGUCAUGACCCCGGAUCCCCCAUUGUGUGCUGUGGUGCUUGGGGCUCCCUCUUCCCAUUAAAGAGAUGCUCAGUGCCUGAAAGGCAGUUAUAACAUCUGCCUUCCCAGCCCUCUGGUGUAGCUGAAACUGCCUACAUCGCUGAGCCUGAGCUUUGGUCAGGCACCUUUGAAAAGUGCUGUCUGUUGUGCUGGAUUUGAAUCAUAGCACUGGGUAUGUGGGUGGCUGUGGCAGAGGCAGCGGCAAUGGAAGUCCCAGAAGGGAAAAGAGCCUGGGUGACAUUAGAGACCACCUGGGAGCUGUCAUGGUUCCCUGGGCUCAUAUUUGUGAAUAAGGACCUCCAAGGGCUGGAUGUGCUGUGCUGCUCGAGGCUAGAGUAGAGGGUGGGGCCAGUCCUGGAGCUGCAGCUGCCAGGGCUUCGAAAUGGAGGCCACUAGGAUAGGUGGCUGCUCCAUGCUGCUGCCUGUGCCUAUCAAUGGCCCCCGGUGUGGGUGGCUUUCUAGAGGCAGAGUUAAUGUGAUGUUUCCCUUGUGUGGCCUGGUUUAAUGGUUCCCUUGUAUGGCUAGAGUUCAAUGUGGGCAGGGUGGAGGUUGUGGCUGUGCUGUCACAAUAGCCUGUGCAGAGGGGAAGGAGUUCCCACUGGAGCCAAUGGGAGGCCCCAGGAGGAGAGGAUCAAGGUGCAGGUGUGGUAUCCAUAGGGAUGACCCUGAUGUCAGACCCCGAUGUAUCCAUAGGGGUGACCCCUAACUGGGGAGCAGAGCCUUGGGCAGAAGCAAAGGUCGAAAGACUUUGGAAGAACGAGAACAGGGUGCCAGGAGGUACUCCGAGAGAUCUGGCACCUGCUGGUGCUCUCUUAGAGGGCCUUGCACUCAAAGGGCCUGGGUCCUGCCCAUUCUUAGUGCGCCCCCAGGUGUGUUUCCCCUUUUCCUUCCUGUGAGGAAAGCGCUCCCCAACUGACAGCCCAGGCAAGGCAGGAGUCUUGCCUCUCCUCAUGCCGUCCUUGCCAGCAGCAGGAACAGGUGUCAGCGAGGAGCUGGGGGCAGCAUCUGUGGCGAGUGAGGAGGGGACUGGAAGGGGCUGUGAGCUCAAGAGGGGAGCAGCUGACCUGUGCUUCCUCUUAGGCCCCAGCUGCACUGAGGUGGCCACAGCAGCAGAUGCCAGGGGGGUCCCCUGAGACCUUGGAGUCCUGCUUCUUUCUGUUCUUAAUUCUUCCCUGCAUUCCUGUUGGGCACUGGAGGGACAGAAGGUGGAGGAGCAGUCACUGGGGCAGGCAAGGGAGGAGGGCAGGAAGGCUGUGUGGUGUUGCUGACCUUGGUGGCCUGCGACUCCCCCAUCAGAAUGCUGUUUAUAUCCCUCAAUGCUGCCUCCUUCUCCCGAGCUAUGUCUUCAGGGGUUACCUGAUAGCUUAGUUUGGGAGGUGGUGGCAGCAUCAGAGGGACCCCUUGCCUAUGCCUCAGAAGGGGAAUCUUGCAUUUUCCUAGCCCAGAACCCUCCACUGUGGGCACGCAGUUACUCCUUGUUUCUGCCUGCCUUGAUGUCAUGUCUGCCACUUUCUGGUUUCCAGUGUUCUGGGAAACUUCUGGGACUGAACACGAAUACUGGAAGCCAUUCUCCCUUGGAUCUUUGGAGGGUCCCAGAAGUGGCCUGGUGUGAAUUGUGGCUGGACCCCUCCUUCUCAGUCCUGGUAACCCUCCAGUGGAGCUGUAGGAGCUGGUGAUGGUAUUUUGCCCAAUCAAGGAGCUCACACAGGAGGGCUGGGAGCGAGGGUCAGGUUUAUCUCUGGAGCUCUUCCUGCAGAGGUUUCUAGGUAGAGGCCCAGGCCUUGGGACAAAAGGAAUCAGGCCUUGCUGGCCUUCAAGAGGCCUAAAUGCAGACGGCAGCUUCCCAGGACGGUAGGUGCCCCUCCUGUGCUGAGCCUGUUGCUCCAUGAGCCAAAGCGCCAGUCUGCUCAGUACUGGGGGAUGAGCUACAGGGUAUCUGAAAACCGCCUGCAGAGAGCACCAGCUUCCUCUGAAGACAGCCUGCUGGUUGAGGCAGACAAGGGUCUGCCCGGAACAGGAAGUGUUUUGGACACUCUUUCCCAAAGCUGAUGUGAAGCCCAGAAUGCUUGUGGGAUGUCUAGAAGUGGAUCCACGAGCAAAGGUGGCUAAGCGGGAUGCACUCACCUAGGGUUCUUGGGCAGGUGUGGUGAGGGGCCCGGGAGAUGAGCCCCAGGGGCAAGUCCCCCCCCCCCCAUGGGGAGGGGCGGUUUGCAGGGCUGAGGGGCCAAGCUAGCCCAGGGAACUGCCCACCAGAGCUGUCGGGGAGCGUGGGAUACUUCUUUCUCAAAAACAGGCGGAGUGGUCCUCUUGGAGCGGCCAACUGGCUCACAGUCUCAACCGCAGUGAAACUUUGUGGCUGGGACACAGCAUUGGAGGGCGAGAGGGAAGCAGGCGCACAAAUGGUUAAAAACAGCGACUCUGGCCAGAAGAAUGGUAUGAGGGGGUCUGUGAAAUAGCCACCAAGUCUCCUCUGGUCACCUUUCCCAGCAAAGAGCCUCUGCAGUCAGUCCUCUAGUACCAUCAGCCAUGAAAAAUGAUAGUCACCCCUGCCGAGCUGAGUGAGCUUUGAAGCACAAUCAUCAACCUCCUGGAGUCUCCUCCUGAAGUGUCUGCUCUUAUCAACAAGCUGGACUUUGCCAUGCCAACAUACUUGUCUGUGUACCGGCUGGAAUACAUGAGGCGCUGUUAUCUGAAGACUAGAUCACUUCCAACUACUCUUUCUCACACUGGUUCUACAAAGGCUUCAUCUUUGUCAGUCACUUCAUGGACAUCACUCCUCGGGGCUGCCAGGGAUCUUCUCAGCGCUAAACACAGUGAUGAACCUCUGCUUUCAACUCAAUUCUCAGAUGCUGGACUUGCUCCUAGACCAUAGCUUGAUCUUCUUAAAUUCCAAGUCAGGUUGUACUGGUCUGGUUAAAACCUUUAAACAACUUCCCAUUUCACACACAGGCCAGCCAGUCUUCACACUGGCUGGCAGGGUCCCACUGGGUUACCUUUCACACCCUCGCCUGCUACUUCCGCCAGGCAAGUCCCACUGCCUUCCUCCAAUCUGCCUCGCAUAUCCCCAUUUCAGUACUUUUGACUUGCUGUGCCCUCCACCUGGAAUGAACUUAGCACAAAAUCCAUCUGGUUCACUCCCUUAUCUUUCUUAGGUCUUUACUCAAGGGUGAGCUUCUCAAUGCCAAAUGGACUUUACUGCAAGUUACAUAGUGGCACCGCGGUUUACAAAUUUAAUUUGUUUUACACUUCUGGGGAAGAUAGCUACAUUUGUGUUUGUGUGGGGAAGGUGGCCGUGGUUGUGUUUGUCGCUUGAUGUGGAGUUUGUGAAUGGAAGCAAACUUUUGCCGAAGGCUUUUAUAUGCGAACCGAACUGUUUCCAACCAGAAGUAUAUUUAAAAUUGUACUUCUUUUUUAUAGUAUUUGCCUUUUUCCCUUACACCUCUCAACAUCUGAAAUAUAAGACAGAAUCAAGAGGAAAAAAAAAGUACUAUCUCCUCAACUCCAAUGGAAGUACCUUGAGGGCACAGUACACUGCAUCCCUGGAACCCACACCAGGGCUUGGAUGAAGAGCUUCUUUCUGCCCUCAGUUCUCUUCCUUUUUUUUUUGUUAGUACUGUUUGUUGUUGUUUGAACGCAAGGAGUGCUAAAUUCUAUCCCUAGCCCUUUUCAUUUUGAGACAAGGUCUUGCUAAGUUGCCCAGGCUAGCCUCAAACUUGGAAUCCUUUGGCCUCAGCUUCCCAAAUAGCUGGGAUUACAGGCCUGCGCCACCAUGCUCCUCUCAGGACUCAUGUCUUAGUCAUUCUGUGGCUUCCCAGCACUUGACAGACAUUCAAUAAAAUAUUUUCUGAAAAAAAUGGAAAAUUAUGUUCUAUUAACUUCAAAUUCCAAGCUGUUUUAAGAAAAUCAAGAAACACAAGAAAAGCCAAAUAUCAGAUGCAUAUGAUUUUAACAGGUUGGUAACUUGUCAAUGUAUGUAACAAAAUGGGUAAAUGUAGUAGCUUGGCAGGCUAUGGACUCAUCAACUCAAUGAGUUCCUACUGUGUGUGUGUCUGGUGUUGCAUAAACAAGAGUUUAGCAUUCUCAUCCCUACAACAAAGAAAAGUUGAAAAGAUAGUAAAACUAGGAAGAAUCAAAACUAUAUAUUCUCUUUUAACUUUAUAAUAUUCCAGGAUGCUCAUUCUACUAGGCUCCCUCUCUCUCUUUUGAGACAGGGUCUAUGUAUCCCAGACUGGCCUUGAACUCUCAGUCCUCUGGCCUCAGCUUCCUGAAGUGCUGGGAUUACAGGCAUGAGCCACCACACCCACCUGGCUCCACCUUUAAUUUUUUUUUUUGCAAACUUAUAAAAAUAGAACUAAACUGGUAAAAUGUACACAAACUGAUGCCAUUUGAAAUGAAUGUAAUGAACACAGUUGCAAAGGCAUGACUGAAGCACAAUGUUUAGGGCACCGAAAGGUAUAC